UAUCCAAAACCCAAUAGGAGUGGCUAUAACUUUUUCUUUGCCGAGAAGCAUUACAAGCUCAAUUCUUUGUACCCAAACAGAGAAAGGGAGUUCACAAAGAUGAUUGGCGAGUCAUGGAGCAACCUCAGCGCUGAAGAAAGGAUGGUUUACCAGAACAUUGGGUUGAAAGACAAAGAACG